GAUUCUGCUGAGAUGCCCUAUUGCCACAAAUGAGCUUCCUUUUGUUGUUUGCUCUCUUGUCCUUGACGGCUGCUUCUAUUGUUCAGCUGCCAGAUGUGAUCAUUAUGGAAGGGGCUGCAACCACACUGGCAUGUUCUCAACUUAAGACCAGCCAUGCAUAUAUGUCCUGGUACAAGCAAGAGAAGAGGAGGGAAGCCCAUUCACAGCUCCAGCUGGUGGCUUUUACAUCUGAAGGUUCUCCAAGAGAAUCUGCCAUUGAGCAACCUUUCAAAAAACGCUUCAAGACCUCAGGGAUGAAGUCACAUGCCUUGCCUCUGUCUCUGGAGAAUGCCCAGCUGGAAGACACAGGCACCUACUACUGUGCUUCACAAGAGUACACAGCAGAGCAAAUGCUGAGGAAGCCAAGCCAAAACCUCUUCACAGGAAACUCCCCUGUGGCAGAUCCUUCCCAAUAACUAACACAGGGCGGCAGCCAUGAGCUAUUCAUUAUAUUGCACAAACAUCUGGCACUUUUGGCUUAGCUAUCUAGGAGUAGCAUCUGCUCAGCGGUGACACUCAAUAGUGACAAGGCUGAAGACAUGAUUCUGUAUAAAGCAUUUUUAGAGUCAUAAUUGCUUGAAGACAGAC